rnacentral:rRNA from 1 species
AACGAACGCUGGCGGCAGGCCUAACACAUGCAAGUCGAACGCCGUAGCAAUACGGAGUGGCAGACGGGUGAGUAACACGUGGGAACGUACCCUUCGGUUCGGAAUAACUCAGGGAAACUUGAGCUAAUACCGGAUACGUCCGAGAGGAGAAAGAUUUAUCGCCGAGGGAUCGGCCCGCGUCUGAUUAGCUUGUUGGUGAGGUAACGGCUCACCAAGGCGACGAUCAGUAGCUGGUCNGAGAGGAUGAUCAGCCACAUUGGGACUGAGACACGGCCCAAACUCCUACGGGAGGCAGCAGUGGGGAAUAUUGGACAAUGGGCGCAAGCCUGAUCCAGCCAUGCCGCGUGAGUGAUGAAGCCCUAGGUUGUAAAGCUCUUUUACCCGGGAAGAUAAUGACUGUACCGGGAGAAUAAGCCCCGGCUAACUUCGUGCCAGCAGCCGCAGUAAU